AUGAACCGUGAACUUCCAGCUGUUAAAGUUGGUUUUAGAAAAGGCAGAGGAACCAGAGAUCAAAUUGCCAACAUCCGCUCAAUCAUCGAAAAAGCAAGAGAGUUCCAGAAAAACAUCUAUUUCUGCUUUAUUGACUAUGCCAAAGCCUUUGUGGAUCACAAUAAACUGUGGAAAAUUCUGAAAGAGAUGGGCAUACCAGACCACCUGACCUGCCUCUUGAGAAACCUAUAUGCAGGUCAGGAAGCAACAGUUAGAACUGGACAUGGAACAACAGACUGGUUCCAAAUAGGAAAAGGAGUAUGUCAAGGCUGUAUAUUGUCACCCUGCUUAUUUAACUUAUAUGCAGAGUACAUCAUGAGAAAUGCUGGGCUGGAGGAAGCACAAGCUGGAAUCAAGAUUGCGGGGAGAAAUCUCAAUAACCUUAGAUAUGCAGAUGACACUACCCUUAUGACAGAAAGUGAAGAGGAACUAAAAAGCCUCUUGAUGAAAGGGAAAGAGGACAGUAAAAAAGUUGGCUUAAAGCUCAACAUUCAGAAAACGAAGAUCAUGGCGUCUGGUCCCAUCACUUCAUGGGAAAUAGAUAGGGAAACAGUGGAAACAGUAUCAGACUUUAUUUUUCUGGGCUCCCAAAUCACUGCAGAUCAUGACUGUAGCCAUGAAAUUAAAAGACACUUACUCCUUAGAAGAAAAGUUGUUACCAACCUAGAUAGCAUAUUGAAAAGCAGAGACAUUACUUUGCCGACUAAAGUCCAUCUAGUCAAGGCUAUGGUUUUUCCAGUGGUCAUGUAUGGAUGUGAGAGUUGGACUGUGAAGAAAGCUGAGUGCCAAGGAAUUGAUGCUUUUGAACUGUGGUGUUGGAGAAGACUCUUGAGAGUCCCUUGGACUGCAAGGAGAUCCAACCAGUCCAUUCUGAGGGAAAUCAGCCCUGGGUGUUCUUUGGAAGGAACCAUGCUAAAGCUGAAACUCCAGUACUUUGGCCACCUCAUGCAAAGAGUUGACUCAUUGGAAAAGACGCUGAUGCUGGGAGGGAUUGAGGGCAGGAGGAGAAGGGGACGACCAAGGAUGAGACGGCUGGAUGGCAUCACCGACUCGAUGGACAUGAGUUUGAGUGAACUCUGGGAGUUGGUGAUGGACAGGGAGGCCUGGCAUGCUGGGAUUCAUGGGAUCGCAGAGUCGGACAUGACUGAGCAACUGAACUGA
rnacentral:lncRNA from 1 species